rnacentral:rRNA from 1 species
AAUUGACCUCGGAUCAGGUAGGGAUACCCGCUGAACUUAAGCAUAUCAAUAAGCGGAGGAAAAGAAACCAACAGGGAUUGCCUCAGUAACGGCGAGUGAAGCGGCAACAGCUCAAAUUUGAAAUCGGGCUCCCAAUCGGGGGUCCGAGUUGUAAUUUGUAGAGGAAUUUUCGGGUGCGGUACCGGCCUAAGUUCCUUGGAACAGGGCGUCAUAGAGGGUGAGAAUCCCGUAUGCGGCCGGCCUCCAAGCCCACAGGAAAAUCCUUCGACGAGUCGAGUUGUUUGGGAAUGCAGCUCAAAAUGGGUGGUAAAUUUCAUCUAAAGCUAAAUACCUGCCAGAGACCGAUAGCGCACAAGUAGAGUGAUCGAAAGAUGAAAAGCACUUUGGAAAGAGAGUCAAAAAGCACGUGAAAUUGUUGAAAGGGAAGCGCUUGCGACCAGACUUGCCCGCAGACGCUCAGCGGGGGUUCUCCCCCGUGCACUCGUCUGUGAUCAGGCCAGCAUCGGUUCUGGCGGUUGGAUAAAGGCUCCAGGAACGUAGCUCCCCUCGGGGAGUGUUAUAGCCUGGGGUGCCAUGCGGCCAGCCGGGACCGAGGACCGCGCAUUGCAAGGAUGCUGGCGUAAUGGUUGCAAGCGGCCCGUCUUG